GUCUAUAGCCAUACUACCCUAAACCUGCCCAAACUCAUCUGAUCUUGGAAGCUCAGGAGAGUCAGACCUGAUCAGUACUUGGAUGGGAGAUGUCUCGUAGGUAUGGGGC
ensembl:rRNA 5S_rRNA 5S ribosomal RNA